GACGAACGCUGGCGGCGUGCUUAACACAUGCAAGUCGAACGGUAAGGCCUUUCGGGGUACACGAGUGGCGAACGGGUGAGUAACACGUGGGUGACCUGCCCUGCACUUCGGGAUAAGCCCGGGAAACUGGGUCUAAUACCGGAUAGGACUGCGCGGUGCAUGCCGUGUGGUGGAAAGAUUUAUCGGUGCAGGAUGGGCCCGCGGCCUAUCAGCUUGUUGGUGGGGUAAUGGCCUACCAAGGCGACGACGGGUAGCCGGCCUGAGAGGGCGACCGGCCACACUGGGACUGAGACACGGCCCAGACUCCUACGGGAGGCAGCAGUGGGGAAUAUUGCACAAUGGGCGCAAGCCUGAUGCAGCGACGCCGCGUGAGGGAUGACGGCCUUCGGGUUGUAAACCUCUUUCAGCAGGGACGAAGCGUGAGUGACGGUACCUGCAGAAGAAGCACCGGCCAACUACGUG
rnacentral:rRNA from 1 species